rnacentral:lncRNA from 1 species
CCAUCAUGACUCUCGAGGGUGGAAAAUCCGGGUCGUGACAAUAAUCAGUUUAAGCGAAAACUUGGUCACCACACAAAUCACCCCCCUCUUGUGUGGUAUUGAAGUAUAAAACUUCAAUUAGGGUCCCCUUUAUAUAGGAGGGGAAAAUCCUAAUAUGGUACAUUUUCCAUUAUGCUAAAGAAUUUUAUUGGUACAACUGUAUAACAACCUAGUACGGACUUGUACUAUUUUGUACAAAUCUUAUCCCAUAAUUUAUGCCCUGAUCCACGUGUCCUUGAGAAAUUCCCACUCUUUUUUGAGUGUUAUCGAAAAUGUACUGGCCUCAAAGCAAAUCAUGAUGGGUCUCUGAUUUGCUUCUCGAGGUGCACACAUCCAGGCCAGGCUCAAUUCUUACUUCGAGCUUCCCGAACUCGAGCUCGGGGUAUGAUCAAGUCUUCAAUAUCGAGCUCUCUGAUUUCGACUGCAUACAGAUGGGUUACUCUGUCAAAGUUUUGUAGUUACUCAGUGAAGUUAUGAGUGUAACAUGCUAGUAUGAACUUUGAUAACAGUUGUAGUGCAAAGAAAUUCUUGGCUGAAGUUUGGCAGGUAUGACGUGUUAUUUAAUUUGAUCAUGAAUUAGAGGCGAACGCCUGGUGAUCUCCAUUUUAAGCAAAUAAUGCCACAUGCAAGUCCCAAAAAAAAAGUUUGCGCUAAAAAGCCCUCAUGUGCGCUAUUCAUCGAAAAUAAAAUUACAAAAUAAAUUAACGACAUAAUUGACGCUCUAAUGUGCAAUAGAUGACGUAGUUAGAAAGAAGACGAUAUAAUUGUUGACCAUAAAGAGAAGACAUAGAGAACUAUUGAUAAAAUGAAUUUUUUUUACGUUAAAGUCGUUGAAGACAGAAACUUAUGUUGAAAAUGGAGAGGGAAACCCUCCAUCAUGAAUCUUAACAUGUAUACCAAGUUAUGAAAAUAAUGGAGAAAUAAGAAAUGAUUAUAAGUAUAAUACUGAAGACAAUUAAAAUAGAGAAGACUGAAAGUUUAAGUAUAUAGAGAAAUAUAAGGCUUUUACCAGAAAUUCCACGGGAAAGAGAAGAAAUGCAGAGAGGGA